rnacentral:rRNA from 1 species
UAUUGGACAGUGGGGGGAACCCUGAUCCAGCGACGCCGCGUGAGUGAAGAAGUAUCUCGGUAUGUAAAGCUCUAUCAGCAGGGAAGAANNAAUGACGGUACCUGAGUAAGAAGCCCCGGCUAACCACGUGCCAGCAGCCGCGGUAAUACGUAGGGGGCAAGCGUUAUCCGGAAUUACUGGGUGUAAAGGGAGCGUAGACGGUGAUGUAAGUCUGGAGUGAAAGGCGGGGGCCCAACCCCCGGACUGCUCUGGAAACUAUGUGACUGGAGUGCAGGAGAGGUGAGCGGAAUUCCUAGUGUAGCGGUGAAAUGCGUAGAUAUUAGGAGGAACACCAGUGGCGAAGGCGGGUUGCUAGACUGUAACUGACACUGAGGCACGAAAGCGUGGGGAGCAAACAGG